rnacentral:rRNA from 1 species
AUUGAACGCUGGCGGCGUGCUUAACACAUGCAAGUCGAGCGGUAACAGGCGUAGCAAUACGUGCUGACGAGCGGCGAACGGGUGAGUAAUGCUUCAGAAUCUUCCUUGUAGUGGGGAAUAACCUGGGGAAACUCAGGCUAAUGCCGCAUACGAACCAUGGUUGAAAGCGGGGGAUCGCAAGACCUCGCGCUAUAAGAUGAGCCGAAGUCGGAUUAGCUAGUUGGUGGGGUAAAGGCCUACCAAGGCGACGAUCCGUAGCUGGUCUGAGAGGACGACCAGCCACACUGGGACUUGGACACGGCCCAGACUCCUACGGGAGGCAGCAGUGGGGAAUAUUGGACAAUGGGGGCAACCCUGAUCCAGCGACGCCGCGUGUGUGAAGAAGGCCUGCGGGUUGUAAAGCACUUUUAGUGGGGACAAAAAGCCGAGGGCUAAUACCUUUCGGUCUUGAUUUAACCCAAAGAAAAAGCACCGGCUAACUCUGUGCCAGCCGCCGCAGUAAAAC